GGUCAGUGAUGAACAGUAAAAGGUCUGAUUACCCACAAUCCCCUCCUGUUGGCCUCCAGCUCCCAGCAGCCCUUGCUGUCUUCUCCCAUCAUGCUCUAGUGAUGCAGUGGUGGUCCAAGCAGCUGCUGACAAACAGGAAGUGACAUCACAGGGUCUGUAGUGAGGUCCUAUUGACUCUGAUGGUUGACAUCCAACACAACCAAUCAGCAGGAGCAUCAGGAGGAGGAGGAGGAGGAGGAGGAGGAGGGAGCUGAUCUCUAGUUUUCAACCUGAGACC